rnacentral:rRNA from 1 species
UACGGAGGGGGCGAGCGUUAUUCGGAAUUAUUGGGCGUAAAGGGCGCGUAGGCGGCUUGAUAAGUCAAAGGUGAAAUCCCUCGGCUCAACCGGGGAACUGCGUCUGAUACUGGGUGGCUUGAAUCCGGGAGAGGGAUGCGGAAUUCCAGGUGUAGCGGUGAAAUGCGUAGAUAUCUGGAGGAACACCAGUGGCGGAGGCGGCUCGCUGGGCCGGUCCUGACGCUCGGGCGCGAAAGCGUGGGGAGCGAACAGG